UUGGAGGGCAAGUCUGGUGCCAGCAGCCGCGGUAAUUCCAGCUCCAAUAGCGUAUAUUAAAGUUGUUGCAGUUAAAAAGCUCGUAGUUGAAUUUCGGGAUUGACGUGAUGGUCAUGCCUUAAGGGGUAUGAACUGUUACUGUUGAUUUCUCACUUUCUGGAGAAACUUGAUGUCCUUUAUUGGGUGUCUUGCGGAUCCAGGACCUUUACCUUGAAAAAUUAGAGUGUUUAAAGCAGGCAUUUUUGCUCGAAUACAUUAGCAUGGAAUAAUAGAAUAGGACGGCAUGGUUCUAUUUUGUUGGUUUCUAGGAUCACCGUAAUGAUUAAUAGGGAUAGUUGGGGGCAUUAGUAUUCAAUUGUCAGAGGUGAAAUUCUUGGAUUUAUUGAAGACUAACUACUGCGAAAGCAUUUGCCAAGGAUGUUUUCAUUAAUCAAGAACGAAAGUUAGGGGAUCGAAGACGAUCAGAUACCGUCGUAGUCUUAACCAUAAACUAUGCCGACUAGGAAUCAGACGAUGUUAAUG
rnacentral:rRNA from 1 species